CAGAUCCCCUCUCAGAACGCUCUGAGGCCCGUAUUCAUAGUCAGGUCUCAAGGCGGUGCUUAAGACCGUCUUGGUGAAGAUCGUCUUAUUCGUUCAAGACCGUCUUGAGAUGCUAUGUAUUCAUAGUCGGAAAACAAGACGGUCUUCGUCAAGAAUUUGGUCUCAAGCGCUAGCUUAUUUCAUUCAAGACCGUCUUGACGAAGACUGAGCUUGAGACGGUCUUAUUCGACGUUCGGUUAUGUUCGGAAUAUUUCCGAUGUAUCCCCCAAUAAGAUGCUCGGAUUUUAUUUCUCAGCCUGUGCAAGAUAUUCGUAUAGGCAUGCAGCUCUUGAGUAUUUUUAUAGUUUAUGAACACAACAACGUUAGCGCCACGUAGUGGAACUAAAAAACGGGAACAAAUCGCGUACAAUUUUUUGUAGUGGGUGUAUAGCUAUAAAACGAAGAAGAAGAAAAAGAAUUUUAUAUUGAAUCCCGGUGCAGACUUGCAAAAAAAUGCGCGUGAAAGGGACAACCUUUGAUCUUCAAAGUUCAAAAGAGCAACUUUAGUUCUAUUUACUGGCUGUAUUUAUAAUGUAUUGAAUAUUUUUACGUAGACAAAUUUUCAUAAGUAUUAUCGUAACUAUAAGACUGACGCUUAGUACAAUUACGUACAUAUCAGUAUUUUCAUGAGUAAGUGAGGGGUUUAAAAAUAAAAUGAGAACCAAUGAUAA
rnacentral:lncRNA from 1 species